GAUGAACGCUGGCGGCGUGCCUAAUACAUGCAAGUCGAGCGAACAGAUGAGGAGCUUGCUCCUCUGACGUUAGCGGCGGACGGGUGAGUAACACGUGGAUAACCUACCUAUAAGACUGGGAUAACUUCGGGAAACCGGAGCUAAUACCGGAUAAUAUAUUGAACCGCAUGGUUCAAUAGUGAAAGACGGUUUUGCUGUCACUUAUAGAUGGAUCCGCGCCGCAUUAGCUAGUUGGUAAGGUAACGGCUUACCAAGGCAACGAUGCGUAGCCGACCUGAGAGGGUGAUCGGCCACACUGGAACUGAGACACAGUCCAGAAUCCUACGGGAGGCAGCAGUGGGGAAUCUUAGACAAUGGGGGCAGCCCUGAUCUAGCCAUGCCGGGUGAGUGAUGAAGGCCUUAGGGUUGUAAAGCUCUUUCAGCUGGGAAGAUAAUGACGGUACCAGCAGAAGAAGCCCCGGCUAACUACGUG
rnacentral:rRNA from 1 species